rnacentral:rRNA from 1 species
GGGCACGGCCAUACCACCCUGAACGUGCCUGAUCUUGUCUGAUCUCGGAAGCUAAGCAGGGUUGGGCCUGGUUAGUACUUGGAUGGGAGACCGCCUGGGAAUACCAGGUGCUGUAUUUA